GGGCUAUAGCUCAGAGGUAGAGCAUCUGCUUUGCAUGCAGAAGGUCCCUGGUUCAAUCCCUGGCAUCUCCA
rnacentral:tRNA from 1 species